UUCAUCGGCUUGCCCAAGUCAGCGUGGGAGGAAGAGAGAUUCUGCAGCCUUCGAAUAAAAUAUCCCACUGAGUGGCAGCGAUUACGAUGGUGAAUACAGGAGGAUACUGAGCUUGGGGAAAAGACACGGAGGGCAAUUUGGGACCUGAGCGUUAUAAAACACUGUCUCUCUGAGGAGUGACAUUGAUGCCUGAGUACAAAGCAUCUUGACAUCUGAUAAUAAAGACUUAAUCUUUGAAGAAGAAGAAGUUCAACAUUAUGCAGAGGAGACAAUGAUACUCUUUCUAGUUGGGGAAGGGAGGCCCAUCGAAGAGAGAGCAAGAGG